UCGGUGCAGCGAUGUCGCCGUCAGCCCCGGCCGUUGUUUCUGGAAUGUUCCACGCCAGGCGGGGUAGACACGGCGAGGCGGCACGGGGAUUUAAAUAUCCACACGAGCGAGGGCUCGGGAGGGGAGAAGCGUACUGCAACUUACAACUUGAUCACCUGACAACAACUUGUUGACUGCAUCUGGCUUUCACGUGAGACUUAGUCGCUCAGUCGCUCUCUUAAUUACAGCUCAGAUCGGGCCAUCACACAAAGAACAUUUCUGAGAGCAAUGGUGUCUUGAACAAGGGUUACAAUCAUUUGGACACUUACAACAGAGAUGAGAAGAAAUGUCUUCACCCAGAGGCUGGCAAAUCUUUGGAAUAUUCUAAACGUAAGGCUGAAGAGGCUCAGUCAUUAAGAAAUAUAUUCUUUGAUGUAAAAGAAGUCAAGUAGUUUGGGGAUUGUGCCGUGAUUUUAUUGAAUUGCAGUGCAAGCAUGAGGGGCUGAAUGGACCACCAUAGUUUCUGUUUUAUGUUCAUAUGUUCCCUUCCCUUAUCUCUGUUCCAACCUCUCAUCUUCCCUCAUUUUCUCUCACUCACUUCGCCCUUCUCUCACUCUGAUGCUUCUUUCUCCUAUUUUGAUUUCCCCUUUCUAUUCUCAUUCUUACGCCACCAUCCCCCCAUUCACUACGUUUUCCAACCCCUCUUAAAAAUCAAUUGAAAAAAAUGGUUGGAAUUGAUUUUACAUUAGACCAAAAGACCAAAACAUAGGAUUUUCAUAGCUCAGAAUAAAAAGUUACUUAUGGUUAAUUUAUUUGAUCCCAAUUAGUUAUUUUGACUCAAAAAUGUUAACUUUGCUUCAAAUGGUUCUAUAUGAUUGCUAAGAGAUUCAGUAUGAUUUACUAUGAGGAAAAAGUAUGCCAUCUUUCAGAGGAUUUGAGAUUUGAUUUUUUUUCUCCUAUCAGUUAUAGUAAAUAGAUUAAAUGUUUCAUUUCCUUUAUUGCUAUCAAUUCUGCCCCCAAAAUCUUGUGAAAUCAGAAACAUAUCAAAGUUCAUGAGUGUACUUACUUGUUAAUCCUUGAUUUAUAAAUUUAAUACUUUAUAUUUGCCAAUAUGCUUACUGUGCACCAUUCAAAAUUUAACACAAGCGGUACUUGUGGAAAGUAAUUCAGUCGAAUUCAGUGAUUCAAUAAGCACAAACACAUUUCUGGAGGAAAAUAUUUCCAGUUAGGUCCCUUCUUCAGACUGAUGACAUGGAGGAGCUUGACCCACUGAGCUCCUGCUGCUGUUUGUUUUUUUUUGCUCAAGAAGUCACCUGUAAUCUCCUGCAUCCACAAACACAUUUUUGAUGUUUUUGCAAAUUAACAUUGCAAUGAAUUACUUAGCAAUCCAAAUUCACAAAUGUUAAGAAUCAAGACUGCUUUUUUAAAAUCAUAUAACGGAACAAUGAAACUCAUACUUGCAGCACCACAUAGAUAUGUAAACAUGGUGCUCUGUAAAA